CAAAAGGUUUAAAAGUAACGAGGCUCGGUACUCGUAAAGUAAUUUAAAGGCCAAAGGAGGCAAAGGGACGAGAGUAAUUAGAGAGGAGCUCACGCUAAACUCAAGACGGAUAUUUUUAGCGGGUUGUGUAAAUUUAACUGCGUUCUCGCGUAAUUACUCAUUUCUAUAUACGAUCGAGAGCCGGCAUUGGCCUCCCUCGUGAUAAAGCACGCCACGAUAUUCUUCUUUCUACCUGACGCAACCGUAACGCGGGGGGGAAAGCUUUAAAUAGAUCGCGGUAUACGGCUCGUUAUAAACGUAGUGAAUUCGUUUAAGCGUGGCAGAUUCGUGGCGCUUUCGUGCGAGCCAAGGAGACGAGAAGAGGAACGGCGAUCGAAAGGGACGCGGAUAUCGAAUCGAUCGGACACGGCCCGGACAAAGAACAGCUAGUGGAAAAGAAAAGAGGAGAGGAGAAAGAAGAAGAAGAAGAUGAUGAAGACGAAGAAGAAGAAGAAGAAGAAGAAGAAGAAGAUUCCUUUACUCCGGGAUUUCGCGUUGGAUUCUUCUUCUUCUUCUUCUGGUACCGGUUGCGUAUCGUAAUCGAAGUAACUGGGCCUCGACGGGCACGGACAAUAACCACGUAUUCCGCAGAAGCAGGUGAUCUCUCGCGCGAGAGCAGAGGACAGGACGUUCAGAAAUCAAGCCUACCUUGAGAGACGAAUCUUUUUGCCUUGCACCGCGCCGCUGACAACACACGAUCCCCGGCCAAUAUAUGUAUAUAUGUAUAUAUAUAUAUAUACGAGAAAUCUCUUGCAGAGAUAUCGCCUCCCCGUUUUAAAGAGUUAAUAUCUGUUGGACGCAUUAAGACGAGCCUGGCGAGAGAUUCUCAUAAGGAUCUCGAAAGGAUUUCGUUCGUUCCUAUCUACCUCGGUCGGGUCGGUGGUAUAUAUCUCGUAAUAGGCUCUCCAUGACGCGUCGAUCGUGGUAAUUAAGGUGGCGGUACGUUCCGCGAAACAUGUGGACGCUUUUAAAAUGAUAUCCACCUCUCUAUUUCUCGUGACCAUAGGUGAGCAUUAAACUGGUUAAAAAUAGAACCGAGGCGUAUUUGAAAGCGUAUUGUGAAGCGAUUACGAGUUUUUUUCAUUGCGCGAUACCGAGGAGAUACUCUUCCCCCCCCUCCUCUCCUCUCCUUGCUCCCCUCCCUUAAUGGGGGCCGGUCAAUGUCGGUGGAGAAAAAACUAAGCGCGGAAAGAGCGAGGAAUAAGAAUAGACGGCGCCAAAGGCUUAACAAGGAAACCGGUUCAAAACCUUCUGCGCCUGUGUACCGACUUUCCAUGAGAGAUUCCACCGAGUCACUUCGACCACCGUGCGCAAUAUAUUGGACGUGCGUAUGAUUCCCGUAAUACCUUCAACUACGAUCGCAACCGUGCGUUCCCUUCGUCGAGCAAUUAGCUAUUUCUACGUCACGUCAACAGGUAUUCGCGAACGUUGGAACGAACGUUGAAUCUUGACCUCUUCCCCGGAGAAGUAGGAGGAGGAGGAGGAGGAGGAGAGUCGAGGAAGAGAAAGAGAGAGAGAGAGAGAAAUUCGACGAAGAAGGAAUAUGCAUGUGUUUCGAAGUAGGAAACGUUGGCGGCCGAUUUGAACGGCGUCUCUCAAAGCCGCAAUUUACGUCGAUCGGCGACAAACAUCGGCAGAUAAUACGAUAAUAAUCGUUAAUGCAUCCGAUCCUCGAAUAGAAAAUGGUGAUUUUAAGGGAUGGUAUGCGGCGCGUUCUCGCAGCCAAGCUCAGAAAUGAAGUCUACCUUGAGGAGUCGGUGUCUUUUUUUGCGCCUACCCGUCGAUACAAUUCCAUUCAGGACGAUGAAGACCGUGAAAAGACACCAAAGAGAAAUUCCAUCCAUUGCGACCGUCACCGUAAAACAAACUAAACGAUGGAACAACGUUAUUAAUAGCGUGUACCGCCACUCGCAAAUAGAUCGGGGCGCCGAGUUCAGCGACAAACCAUCGCUGUCUGCUUCGUUUUCCAAUAGUUCUCAAAUCCAAUCCCAAUAAUUUCCAAUCUUAAAUCCAAUCUACGUUCCAAUCUAUAUUCCAAUCUUCUGCUUCGUUGUACAUACACGUUGUAUACACUUUGGCGCUAAAAAA